rnacentral:rRNA from 1 species
CCUACGGGUGGCAGCAGUGAGGAAUAUUGGUCAAUGGCCGUAAGGCUGAACCAGCCAAGUAGCGUGAGGGAAGACUGCCCUAUGGGUUGUAAACCUCUUUUAUGCGGGGAUAAAGGUGUCCACGUGUGGCUGUUUGCAGGUACCGCAUGAAUAAGGACCGGCUAAUUCCGUGCCAGCAGCCGCGGUAAUACGGAAGGUCCGGGCGUUAUCCGGAUUUAUUGGGUUUAAAGGGAGCGUAGGCCGGUCUUUAAGCGUGCCGUGAAAUUUUGUGGCUCAACCAUGGGAGUGAGGCGCGAACUGGAGACCUUGAGUGCGCGGAAGGCAGGCGGAAGUCGGGGUGUAGCGGUGAAAUGCUUAGAUAUCACGAAGAACCCCGAUUGCGAAGGCAGCCUGCCGCAGCGUUACUGACGCUGAAGCUCGAAAGCGCGGGUAGCGAACAGGAUUAGAUACCCUGGUAGUC